AACUCACGCAAUACACCAUAGAGAACAAUAUCAGAUCCACAUCAUAGAGAAGAAAGAACCUAGUUAUAAAAAAUAUGCUGCUAAUAUUAUCUACUGCUUCUAAUUACUGUAUAUAUAGUAAAAAUUUACCCCUUGGAUUUGAGUCAAUUAACUCAUCCAUUCAUUUGGGACCUAAAUUACCAAAUCCAGCAUCAUUUUUUCAUGAGAAUAACAUAACUCUGAUUCAAAUUUGUGUUGUAAGUCUAGGUAUCAUGAUGUAAAAUUGAAAACAAAGGGAUUUGCUUCACAGUGAAAAUUAGACACUCUCUUUCAAAAGCUCGUAACUAAAUACCUUAUACGCACUAGUUGAAGAUAAUUCGAAGCUGCUGGAAGGAGUGUCAUGGUAAUCACUA